rnacentral:lncRNA from 10 species
CCAGUGUGCUGCGGGCCAGGGCCAGGCUUGAGCCCAGGCAAGGCUGAGGACCGGCUCAGCUCCGAGGGCACAGGUCACCCAUGCCUCCAUGUCCCUAACUGGACCCAGACCCUCCAUUCCCCAUGGCUAUUGAGCAGCUAAAAAGAGAAGGCAGGUGAGGGGGCCACCCUAGACCAAAGCUGGUGUUCUUCUGGGUUCAAACGUGGCUCUGUGACCCCGUAAGCAUCCACGCGCAUCUGGGGGCUGUCUGCCCAGGGCCCGUGUCUGAGGUGUCACUGAGGGCAUGGCAUGUCUGAUACCAACCAGGCUCCACUGAGGGCUCGCCACAGUGCCAGGUCCAACAGACAAGUGACUUCAGGUCUGAGUCUGUUUCCCCGUGCUGAGGGACCAUGUUACAGGGAUCAUGCAGGGGAGGAGCAAGGAGCUCCCAAGACCAUCUUACAAAGCUUCCUGAGGCUCCAGCACACAAGGGUGUAUAAACACUGCCAGUUGUCGUAGCGUUGGUACUGUAAUGUUGUCAUCCUAAGGUGUUACAAUUACCAAUGGGGCCGGGUACUGUGGCUCACACCUGUAACCCCAGCGCUUUGGGAGGCCAAGGCAGGAUCGCUUAAGCCCAGGAGUUCAAGACCACCCUGGGCAACAUAGUAGGACCCCUUUUUCUACAAAAAAGUAAGAAAGUCAGCUGGGCCUGGUGGCGCCUGUAGUCCCAACUACUUGGGAGGCUGAGGCAGGAGGAUGGCUUCAGCCCGGGAGGUUGAAGCUGCGGUGAGCUGUGGUCACACCUCUGCACUCCAGCCUGGGUGACAGAGGGAGACCAUCUCAAAAACAAGCAACAGCAACAAAAUCAAUUACUGGGCGGAUCGCUUGAGCCCAGGAGUUUGAGACCAGCCUGGGCAACAUGGCAAAACCCCAUCUCUCUUUUUUUUUUUUUGAGACGGAGUCUCGCACUUUCGCCCAGGCUGGAGUGCAGUGGUGCGAUCUUGGCUCACUGCAAGCUCCGCCUCCCGGGUUCAUGCCAUUCUCCCGCCUCAGCCUCCCGAGUAGCUGGGACUACAGGCACCCGCCACCAUGCCCGGCUAAUUUUUUUUGUAUUUUUAGUAGAGAUGGGGUUUCACGUGUUAGCCAGGAUGGUCUCCAUCUCCUGACCUCGUGAUCCGCCCGCCUCGGCCUCCCAAAGUGCUGGGAUUACAGGUGUGAGCCACUGCGCCCGGCCAGGCAAAACCCCAUCUCUAAAAAAUAUACAAAUUAGCCAGGCAUGGUGAUGCGUGCCUGUAGUCCCAGCUAUUCGGGAGGCUGAGGUGGGAUGAUCACUUGAGCCUGGGAGAUCAAGGCUGCAGUAAGCCAAGAUUGUGCCACUGUAUGCCAGGCUGAACGACAGAGCAAGACCGUAUCUCAAGAAAACAAAAUCAAAACCAAAACCAAUUACUAAUGGAUGCUCCUUGUCCCCGGGGCGUCCUGCCAAUGAGGUCGCGGCUGUGCAGCCAGAUGAACGGACCACAAGCCCCUGCCUGGACCGCCUGCUCUCCGGGGCUGCUUUUCUGUGAUGCUCACAGCAGCUGCUGCUCCUGGGGGACCCAGGGUUCCCUGCCUUCACUCCAGCUGGUGAAGUAAGUGCAGGGUGGGAGAAACAGUGGCCCUGGGAGGUCACCUGUCUCAAUGUCCUGGAGCUGCUGUGGCAAAGCACCACAGCCCGGGCAGUUAAGGACAACAGGGAUUCGUUCCUCACAGCUCUGGAGGCCGUAAGUCUGAAGUCAAGGUGGCGGCAGGGCUGGCUCCAGCUGGAGGCUGGAGGGCAAGGCCGUCCCAGGCCUCUCUCCCAGCUCUGGUGGCUGCUGGCCACUCGUGGUGCUCCUUGGCUAGCAGACAUGUCACUCCAGUCUGUUGUCACAUGGGCUUAACUC